CAAGGACAUUGUUCUGACGGAGUGUCAGGGGCAGUCCAAAAAUGGGCUAUUCUCAGUGAGAUGGAAAACAAGUCUGGGCUUACUGUGAUUCAAGGUAUCUCUGGAUCAUUCUUCCUUGACCUAAAAAGAGAGGCCACCAAGGAGCUGGGGUGAGUCUCAGAAGCCAUCACUGGUGACAUCCAAUCGGAACGUUGGAGCUGGAAGAACCUCUAGCUGGAUACUAGAGGAUGAGAAGUUGCUUCCCGCUGCAAAUGGAAGGGAGGACUUGGACAAGCUGUCAUUUGGGCAACGUCCUGUGGGAAAUCUUGAGUGAUGAGUUUCCAAGUUGGGGAAUAGCUCUUAUUUCCUAUUUGGUGGUGGAAACUUAUUGGAACAAUCCAGAUAUUUAGCAAUUUUGGGGAACUUGGUCUCUGUGCUAAAUGUAUCAAAAACUAGUGAUGCAACACCCAUUCGGAUGGCUCUGGGAGCUGAUUUCCUCCCUACUUUUGGGAGCUUGGGGAAAAUCUGGCUCAGUAUGUCUGAGUUAGCUCAAGUAACAGAUGGGCUGAUACCAACUACUGGAUCUGAAGACUUCCCCUUUCUAACAAGGCCAUUCUUCCAACCAGGAAGCGUUCACUAUGUUACAUACUGGCAUCAAUAUUCUGUAGCCUCCUGACCCUAGAACUAUAGUAUGCAGAGGAUGACAGGGAGGGGAAGGGUGUGCUCUCUCUACUGGAAUGCUGCCUACAGUCAGCAGUGGGAUAAUGCGAGUUUGUGGGGACUGCAUUUGCUUCAUCACUCAUCUGCUUAUUGACCCCUCAAUAGAUGCUAUUUUUUACAUGCACCAUGUAUCACUAGUGUGCUGACCUCUUUAUACAAUGGUCAGAAACUUUCUUACAGAUACAUUUAUUCACACCAUGAGGUAAAUUUUGCUUAUACAAGUAUACAGUGAUGGUCCAUGUUCCCAUCUAACAUAGCUUGCUCAAAUUUACAAUCAUACUGACGUUUCAUCUGAGACGUGAUACAAAUAAAGCUGGUUAAUGAUUACCCCACCUGAAGCUAGCUUGCUUUCUUGACCUCUUGCCUUCUUGCCUUCCUGCCUUCCUGCUUGCUUGCUUUUCUUUUUCUUUCUUUCUUUUUCUUUCUUCCUUCCUUCCUUCCUUCCUUCCUUCCUUCCUUCCUUCCUUCCUUCCUUCCUUCCUUCCUUCCUUUCUUUCCUUCUUUCUUUCUUUCUUCUUUCUUCCUUUCUUUCUUCUUCUUUUUCUUUCUUUUUUUUCCAGCACAUCCCCAGGGCUAGUUGCUCAUAAAUAUGAUCAGCUAAGUCUUCUAAAAGUGUAGUCAAAGUAACUGUUCCCAAAUGCCAUAACUCUACAUUUUAAACCUUUCUGUUUUGUUACAGUAAUAUCAAGGUAAGAUCUUUGUUAUUAUUUAUUAUAUUUUAAAUAAUUCUUGUCAUUUUUUUCCACAAUAUAAAAAUAAUACAUGUCAUUAUAAAGAAUAUGUUAUAUGUAAAAAAGCACAAAGAAAAACAUAACCCUUGAACGUUUCCCCAGAUAUAACCAUUGUUUCAUUUUAAUGCAUAUCUUUUCAGUAUUUUCCUCCCGACUUUUUCUAUAUGUGUGCAGAUUUCACCAGAAUAAUAUUGUAAUUACGCUUUUGUAAUCUGAUUCUUUCACUUGACAAUAAUAUAUUAUGAAUAGUUUCCUAUGUCACUAAAACUUCCUCUAAAACCAAUUUUAAAGGUCAUCUAGUAUUUUGCUAUUUGAAUCUUUCUUGAAUAUCACAUAAUAUUUGAAAAAGUGUUUAUAAAUAUUACAGUAAACAUCAUUGUAUAUAAAUCUGAUAUACUCAUCUGAUUAUUUACUUAGAUUACAUUCCUAGGUAUAGAAUUGCUGGUUAAUGAGUAUGAGCAAGUCUGAGGUAGCCUUAUUAUUUCCCCCCAUAGAUGCUUUUUGUUGUUUUCCUGGACAAUUAUUUUUUUUAUUUCAAAAUUGAAAAACUUAAAAAGUGAAUAUGUCUCAACAUCGAAUGUUUUGUGUCAUAUUUCCCUAGAAUGAAGUAUAACCUUUAAAUCAGAAAAUUUAUUCAUUUUUGGGGGAUUUUCUUAUAUAAUACUGAUAAACAUACCUUCUGUCAUUAGUGGGCUUCUUCAUUUCAGAGACAUCAAUUAUCCUUAUCUUGGAUCAUCAUUAUGUGUCUUCCACAUAUAUUCAAUUUUUAAAAAUUGUCUUCAUCUCUUAUCCUUUAUUCUAUAUUUCUGUGAUUACCCAAGUAUUUCUCUUAUGGCCAUAAUUAGGUUUUUAGCUAUCCAUUUCUUCAUUGCUGUUUCUACUUUAGGUAUUAGUAUUGAAAUGAUAUUAGUUUGAUCCUUAAUGUUUCCCUUAAAGCUGCCAUCUCUCUUUUCAUUCCAUUCUGCUGUUUCAUCAUCUCAUCUUUGAGCUCUUAUCUUAUUAAACGCAUGCUCUCGUUAAGUCUUUCUAUAGCCUGAAGCAAUUGUGAAGAAUUUCCUCAUAUUAUUGGUGCUAUGUUUUCUUCUAAGUGGAAUUCUUGAUUUAAUUGCAGGAGUACAUUUGAUCAGUUACCAUGCUGGGGGUGUGGGUUUGUUCUUAUGGAGGAUAUCCUUGGGAUUCCUAUUGUUUCCCUUAAUUCAGCAUAUGACCUUCGAGUCAUUAUUUCUAUCAGAGAAAGACUGAGCCCUAAUGGUCACUUUCCCCAAUUCUCUCAUUUCUCCCCAGCAUUCAUUUCCACUCUACUCAGUGACAGGCAAAAAAACAAGGCAGGUCAUUCUACUUUCUUCACAUUUAGGGGUUAUAGUAAAGAUUCCUAGGAUAUGGGUAACUCAACAGUAUGGCAUUUGAAGAUAGGUGAUCAUCAGUUUUUGGCCACCAGUGCUUUAAGUAUAUAAAUGUCAAAGUAUUUAAUUUUAAGAAAUGGAAAUAUAUGUGUUUCUGUUGUUUUUCCAGGUGUAUCCAACAGCAAAAAGAAAAGUUUUGUAAAACACUUUAAUCUAUGAGAAACAUGGUUAUCUUUUUCAAUUUUUCAAUAGUUGGCAUAAUCCCAAUAAACCUUAAUAACGUAUUUAUAUGUGAUUAAUUGGUUUCGUUUCUG
rnacentral:lncRNA from 10 species